CGGCACUGCGCGCGUCACGACGCGCGGCCUACGUCUCCAGGCGUUGCCAUGGUUCUCGCCCACCUCUGCCUUGGGCGCUCCCAGGCCCCGCCCGGUGGCGCACGCGUUCCCUAGCAGCUGCGCGCCCUGUCUCAUUGUUGGCGUCUACCUAAGGAGGGACUCCGUGCUGCAGCAGCAAAACUGUCGGGACACUGGACAUUGGUAAUGAAGGAUGGAAAUGAAUGAGAGAUGGGAAGCAACCAAGGACACUUCUGGCAUCGAGCAGAGCUCCUAAUGGCGAGCGAAGCGUUGUCUUCACAGUCCGUGUCUCCCUGUCUGGCCUCCUUCCUCCUCCCCUUUCCAUCCCUCUCCUCCGAAGGUUUAGCCGCCAUCUUCCCCUAUGAGCCACCAAAUUGCAUCAUCCUACACCAGCGUAUGGUCCUACAUCAGGCGCGACUGAGCCGCGGCGGCUCGAUUUGUGCAUGUGCCACAAGACACUUUGCUUUCUUUUUUUUUUUCCUUUGGCAGUACUUUUAUUUUUCCUGA
rnacentral:lncRNA from 1 species